GGUUAGCCCAACGAGAUCGGGAUAACACCUGGAAACAGAUGCUAAUACCGGAUAACAACAGAUGAUGCCUAUCAACUGUUUAAAAGAUGGUUCUGCUAUCACUCUUGGAUGGACCUGCGGUGCAUUAGCUAGUUGGUAGGGUAACGGCCUACCAAGGCGAUGAUGCAUAGCCGAGUUGAGAGACUGAUCGGCCACAUUGGAACUGAGACACGGCCCAAACUCCUACGGGAGGCAGCAGUC
rnacentral:rRNA from 1 species